UGGGGAAUAUUGGACAAUGGGCGAAAGCCUGAUCCAGCCAUGCCGCGUGUGUGAAGAAGGUCUUCGGAUUGUAAAGCACUUUAAGUUGGGAGGAAGGGCAGUAAGCGAAUACCUUGCUGUUUUGACGUUACCGACAGAAUAAGCACCGGCUAACUCUGUGCCAGCAGCCGCGGUAAUACAGAGGGUGCAAGCGUUAAUCGGAAUUACUGGGCGUAAAGCGCGCUUAGGUGGUUCGUUAAGUUGAAUGUGAAAGCCCCGGGCUCAACCUGGGAACUGCAUCCAAAACUGGCGAGCUAGAGUAGGGCAGAGGGUGGUGGAAUUUCCUGUGUAGCGGUGAAAUGCGUAGAUAUAGGAAGGAACACCAGUGGCGAAGGCGACCACCUGGGCUCAUACUGACACUGAGGUGCGAAAGCGUGGGGAGCAAACAGG
rnacentral:rRNA from 1 species